rnacentral:lncRNA from 1 species
AUGCUCAACCAUACGAUCUACAAGACACUCUUCUUUAAGAAAUCCACCAUGCUCAACCAUACGAUCUACCAGACACUCUUCUUUAAGAAGUACACCAUGCUCAACCAUACGAUCAACAAGACACUCUUCUUUAAGAAGUACACCAUGCUCAACCAUACGAUCUACAAGACACUCUUCUUUAAGAAGUACACCAUGCUCAACCAUAUGAUCUACAAGACACUCUUCUUUAAGAAGUACACCAUGCUCAACCAUACGAUCAACCAGACACUCUUCUUUAAGAAGUACACCAUGCUCAACCAUACGAUCAACAAGACACUCUUCUUUAAGAAGUACACCAUGCUCAACCAUACGAUCAACAAGACACUCUUCUUUAAGAAGUACACCAUGCUCAACCAUACGAUCAACAAGACACCCUUCUUUAAGAAAUACACCAUGCUCAACCAUACGAUCAACCAGACACUCUUCUUUAAGAAGUACACCAUGCUCAACCAUACGAUCAACAAGACACUCUUCUUUAAGAAGUACACCAUGCUCAACCAUACGAUCAACAAGACACUCUUCUUUAAGAAGUACACCAUGCUCAACCAUACGAUCAACAAGACACUCUUCUUUAAGAAGUACACCAUGCUCAACCAUACGAUCAACAAGACACUCUUCUUUAAGAAGUACACCAUGCUCAACCAUACGAUCAACAAGACACUCUUCUUUAAGAAGUACACCAUGCUCAACCAUACGAUCUACAAGACACUCUUCUUUAAGAAGUACACCAUGCUCAACCAUACGAUCAACCAGACACUCUUCUUUAAGAAAUACACCAUGCUCAACCAUACGAUCAACCAGACACUCUUCUUUAAGAAGUACACCAUGCUCAACCAUACGAUCAACCAGACACUCUUCUUUAAGAAGUACACCAUGCUCAACCAUACGAUCAACAAGACACUCUUCUUUAAGAAGUACACCAUGCUCAACCAUACGAUCAACCAGACACUCUUCUUUAAGAAGUACACCAUGCUCAACCAUACGAUCAACCAGACACUCUUCUUUAAGAAGUACACCAUGCUCAACCAUACGAUCAACCAGACACUCUUCUUUAAGAAGUACACCAUGCUCAACCAUACGAUCUACAAGACACUCUUCUUUAAGAAGUACGCCAUGCUCAACCAUCCGAUCUACCAGACACUCUUCUUUAAGAAAUACCACCACCGCUUUAUUCAUCCGGGAUGCAUAAGCAACAUUCUCAUAUCCCACCUUCUCUCCUACGGCGACCAGAAACUCCUCCACCGUGACAGCAGCUUCAGUAACACACCUAAAGCCGUGCCGAAGUGA